GGAGAGGUAGAACAGCAUGGGAGUUCGCCGGUUUGAAGAACCGGUCGUCAUGGGUUCGAAUCCCAUCCUCUCCA
rnacentral:tRNA from 1 species